UGUUCAGUUUGUUCAGCGGGGAUCGAUGUUUGCUGGCAUCGCCUUGCCCUGUCUUGUGUGUGUGUGUGUGUGUGUGUGUGUGUGUGUGUGUGUGUGUGUGCCUGUGUGUGUGUGAGAGAGAGAGAGCGCGUGUGAGUGUGUGUGUGUGUGUGUGUGUGGUGCCCGCGCGCGUAUGUGUGUGUGGGGGGGGUGAGUGUGUGUGUGUGUGUGUGUGUGUGUGUGUGUGUGUAAGCGAGAGUGCGUGUGUGUGUGUGUGUGUGUGUGUGUGUGUGUGUGUGUGUGUGUGAGUGAAUUCCAGAUUUUCUGUCUUUCCCAAACCCGCUCCUGUCCCUCUCGCAUAUCACUCACAGACUGGGAUCUGACAGCAGCGACAAACCUACAGUGAGUGAUCUCUCCCCAGCGCGAAUCCGCCAUCAAGAUCAGGGACGAGGAGGAGGAGGAAGAAGAGGAAGAGGAGGAGGAAGAGGAGGAGAAGGAGGAGGAGAAGGAGGAGGUGGAGGAAGAGGAGGAAGAGGAGGAGGAGGAGGAGGGAAAUAGAAGGAAGAAGAAGAAAAAGAAGAAACCCACUGUCUUCCCAGGAUUGUUUUCCCCCCUUAUCUUUACGCGCGAGUGUGCGCGUGGCGCGUGUGCGCCCCUCGUCCCUACCAUCUGAACCCCGUCUUGGAUGUUUAAUAAAGAAAUCAAGUGUCUCACCAGUCACCAAAAAAAAACCAGCAAAAAGCAAAACCAAAAAAAGAGAGAAAAAUCCAAAAGCAAAAACAAAAAGAGAGAGGGGGGAAAAAACCCAAACAAACAAACAAGGCAGAACCAACCUCCACUUGCAAGCAGCAGGCACAAACCGCCUAUCUGCCACCCAGAGAGGGGGUCUCUGGCCCCGCGCUGGAGCGCUGGCAGGGGAUCGUCAGGGGGACAGAGGCCGAGUGGACGUCCUAGGAGCCACAGAAAGACGAGCGAGACUGCGGCCCCCCGCGCGCGGCUCGGGGCUGGGGCGCCAGAAGUGAGACUGGAGCUGAGUAGAGAGAUGCCAAGGAGGAAACAGGCAGGCACCCAAGCGGGCUGCAGCUUCUUACAGGUCACCUCUCCAGACGCUCAAACUUACCUUGUGGGCUGGCAAGCCUGGGAUUUUUCAUCUACUGCCAAGGCUUGGCCUCUCAGCACAAGUCCCCAAAGUCCCAAAGAAAAUCAACACAGCUUCUGCUUAGGAAGAAUAUCCCACCCAGUGAAGUUCAUGUCAUCCCAUGCUUGCAGUGUUUUAUGGAUUUUAUGAAUGAAUACACUGAGGUUCAUAGCAACGGUUUCAGGCCAAACAACAAGGAACAGGGAAAGGCUGAAGAGGACAUGCCACUCUGAACUGCUACUUCCAGGAUAAGGAGGGUCGUGACCUUGGGCUCUGCCUUAGAUUGGCCAUGAACUUGGCCUUCCAAUGGCACCGUGAGCUCUGUUCCCCCGUGAACACAACUCUUUACUAAACACACUUACCAGGCACUGAGCACUCUUUGAGAUGUUGGGAUACCAGCAAGUAAGAUUCAGCACAUGCUCUUGUGGGGCAGAAGUGGAGUCAAAGUGUUAUACGGUGACAGUGGCCCAGGGUAAAGGUAUGCGAAGGGAAUAUUGGCAAUAAGAAAAGGACAAAGAUGAACAAGGGGCAAUAAUAACAGUGUAAGGCUUUGCCUCCUCCUCUGUGUGCAUACCACUCAGCUCAAGGACUGGCUCCUGGAGAUCCGCAAGGAGCCGCUUCCAUUGACAGGUGGAGCCUGUCAUUCACAAAGCAGUCAGGAGCCAGGACGAUGGUCUGCGAAUUUCACUCAAAUAGGGAGAGUGGUCCACUGACGGGUGGGAAUCCCUCACCCUACUCUCAUAGUAUGCACUCUCUCUAGCCACAGAUCUGUGGUUGGAAUCAUUGCACACAUAUGUAUGCAUGCACACACAUUAGCAUACAGACACACUCAUGUACACACAUCCAUAUGCACACAUAUGCCCCUGCACAUACAUGCUCAACUUCUUCCUCGAGUGAGCUUUGAAUCAGGGUUUCUGAGAAGGGCUGGGAUGAUGGCUCAGUGGCAAAUGGUGAGAAUUGCCCUUCGGAAGGACCUGCACUCAGUCUCCAACAUCCACAUCCGACAGCUCACAACUGCCUGGAACUUUAGCUCUCUGGGAGAAUCCAGUGCCUCCGGCCACCACAGGCACCUUCACUUGUGUGCACAUACCCACAUGCCGACUCAUAUCAUAGAUAUAAUUAAAAAUAUAAAAAAUAAAAAUUUUAAAUGUAUUUCUGAGAAGUGGAGCUCAGUUUGCUUGCUUUUGCCUGCUUGCCUAUCUAUUUAUUAGUUAAUUCACUAAUUAAUUUUUAGUCAGGGUAUUGGUGUAUAGUUUAACCUUGUCUAGGACUUACUACAUAGGCUAAGGUGA